CUUGUCGCCACACCACAGGAAACGCUGUAAACUUUUUAGUGUACUCUUGACGUUUGAGAAAAAUACUUAUUUAUAAAUGGGUUGAACAUUAUAACAAAAAUAAACAAAUUCGCUCCAGACAUUGUACCAGUGUGCCAUUGAAAAGUGUUGCUGAUGUGGUUCCAGCUGUAAGCUGCAACAUUAUUUACACAAAAAUAACUUGGAAUGGGUUAAAAUUAAACACAAAUUUCGUUGAGAAUUUCCUCGUUCUGUGGAAAUUCUAAUGCGCUUGUUCCAAUUAACGUGCUGUAAAAUAGCUCAAUGAAAUGCGGAAGGGAAUUAUAGGCACAAAAACAAAAUCCACGAGUCAAUACUAGAACAUAAAUAGAGCGCUCAACUUCCUAUUCUUUAUUAUAACGAAUAAGAGGUUUAAUGCAGCUGGAUGCGCAUACAUUUUCUUGAAAUUGGGUGAAUCUAUCAACAGAGCUCGUGUCACGUUGUGCCAUCAAAUUUUAAUGCAUUCGUCACAGAAGUAUAAUUUUUUUUAAGUAUUUGAUGCGGACUAGCAUCCAUAUUCAAAACAAUUGGAUCAAAAUUAUGAUAGAAAUUGAUUAAGCUAGGUAACUAGCGAAUUACUUCAUGAAGGUCGAGAUAUCUUUGAGACUACUAAUACUGAUUAUAAAAGACUCUGCCAAUUUUAAGGUGACAUCACUGAUUUCAGUGUAAAAACCUUUUUCUAGAGAUUUUCGAAGCAAAUACAUGUGGAAGCAAAUUGAUCCUUUUUAGCGACAAUCGCCAGUAAUAAAGUGGCAUCGGUUCCUGCUUCGAGAUAUUCAUACACAAGCCUAAAGUCCUUGCCUCAACAAUGCGGUUUUUGAGAAAUGAAAUUGACACGAAACUAAAAGUGGAAGCGAAACAUCAAAGGAAAUUGAUUUUGACGUAUCGGCCCUUCAAAAAUCAUUAGUUCAUAGCAAGGCGAAGGCAGAAUAAUGAUACAUUUCCUCAAGACUAGCUAAGCUUUUAUUUGAAUCGCCAAGCUCAAGAUCUGAAACGAAACACUGUCUAGGCAUGGGAAGAAAUGAAGAUCGUUUAUCCUAAACUUUAUUUGCUUUCCCACAAAUAUUCGCACUUGAUUGGUAUAUCUGUACCGCGGAACGUCCAUUUUUUUAAAUCUUGGGCAAUAUCUUCGAUAAACGGAAGUAAAUUAACUAAAAAGCUUUCAAAACUGCUGUUUUUGCAAUCGUACUUGAAAACUAAUUGUAAGUGAUAUGUGUAGUAAUAUUAUAUAUGCGGUUAUAAUCAAUAAAUAAAUUUU